GUGGAUCCCUAGUCCUCACAGGGACUCUUCUCCGCUGGAUCCGCAAAAGUGCAAUCAGGAACAAGAAAAAUGCCAAAGAAAUAUCCUUCCCCUCCCCAGCAACUGGACAACAAACAGUUCUGGGAGUACAACUGUUUUUAUUCCUGCUACACACGGCUUUUAUACAUUGCCCCUUGCAUGGGGUUUCUUAGUCACAAUCAC